AUGGAGAAUCCUCCUUGCUUGCUUCAUCACCUUCCAAUUCAUCCCUCACAAAACUCAGCUUUCCGAUCAUUAACAAACCGCCACCUUCAUCCACCAAUCAUCCACCGUAACAAACACAAACCUCUCAACGUCCUUACUAAUUCACCUUCACUGCCAUUUCACCAUCAUCAAAAUGUUAUCCAUCCUCACUACAUCAGAACCCUCUGUCUGAAUUGUAACAUACCAACUCCAAAUCUCCUCUCAUUUCCGAAAACCUAG